CAAUAGCGUAUAUUAAAGUUGUUGCGGUUAAAAAGCUCGUAGUUGGAUUUCUGCUGAGAACGACCGGUCCGCCCUUUGGGUGUGUAUCUGGCUCUUUCUUGGCAUCUUCUUGGUGAACGUUGCUGCACUUGACUGUGUGGAGCGCUACCCAGGACUUUUACUUUGAGGAAAUUAGAGUGUUUCAAGCAGGCAUACGCCUUGAAUACAUUAGCAUGGAAUAAUAAGAUAGGACCUCGGUUCUAUUUUGUUGGUUUCUAGAGCUGAGGUAAUGAUUAAUAGGGAUAGUUGGGGGCAUUCGUAUUUAACUGUCAGAGGUGAGAUUCUUGGAUUUGUUAAAGACGGACUACUGCGAAAGCAUUUGCCAAGGAUGUUUNCAUUGA
rnacentral:rRNA from 1 species